rnacentral:lncRNA from 1 species
CGACGGCACCCAACAGUCCGGAACAGCCUGAACGCUACUGUAAAAAAAAUACACUCGGCAUCCCAGCACGAGCGUAACUGAAAACUAAACUACCUGGAAUACUCACUAUGAGGAUACUGCAACAGUAUAAAAUAAUACAACGGCCCCUAGGGCUAAAUCAGGUAGUUUACAUGUGCCGGUCGUUAUCGCGUUUUCUCCGAACUCAAAUCCAAGUCUAACAUGUAUGUUUAGGGUUUACUAAUCAUGUUCUCAAAUCGGAUUUCAUCAAGAUAUAAUCGACGAAAUUGAGCUACACAUGAAAUACAAAACUGAAAAUCAUACAUGUCGACUAAUACGAUACGUAGGAAUAAACCGAUGUAACCUACCUCACGAGCUAAUCCCAGGUCCCGAAGCAAAGAAACGCCCGGCUGGAUCAACCAAAAACCUCCAAAGGCCAGAAGUCAAGCUCCCGCCAACUCUACACGUAGAAUCCGGCAAUAAGCAUCAAAUCUGCCUCAAAAACAGCAGCAGAGAAGACUAGAGUUCCGACCCAGCAAACCUUCACCAAAUCCAGCAAAUAAGGGCUUCGUGGAUUCCUCUCGAAGUCCUGAAUCCAACGAACUAAGUUUCGUCGCAAUCCGACACUCCUACGUCGAGAACGAGCUGAAACGCCAACGGUCGACGCUGGAAAAUCUGCAAAUCAGCACUUAGCUCGAAUUUGAUGAUGCUUGGAAAUGAAGAAGCAAUUCGACGGAACACCCACCUUGACAGUGACUAGCACCAGUGCGACGUCAAUAACGGCGAAGAUCCACGCUCGCCCGGCCUCCUUGCGAUGCUACGGCGGCAACCGUAUGCUCAAACGGCUCCGCGGCGCGACGUCGACGGCGAGCCAACUCCCUCGGCAAGCACCACCCGAUCGGCUUCAACCUAGAGAGAGAGAGAAGUUUACAUGAAAACUCCUCUCUCAGCCUCUCUCCACGUAUAUGAAGGAGUGGGGAAGAGGGUGACAACAACGAGGUAAGAAAAAGACCAAAAAG